rnacentral:rRNA from 1 species
AUUGAACGCUGGCGGCAGGCCUAACACAUGCAAGUCGAGCGAGAAGCGGACGGAGGCGUAAUGUAUGGGGAUCUGCCUGAUAGAGGGGGAUAACUACUGGAAACGGUGGCUAAUACCGCAUACUAACGGAUGAGCCGAUAUGGGAUUAGCUAGUAUGUGAGGUAAAGGCUAACCAAGGCGACGAUCUCUAGCUGGUCUGAGAGGAUGACCAGCCACACUGGAACUGAGACACGGUCCAGACUCCUACGGGAGGCAGCAUUGGGGAAUAGUGCACAAUGGGCGCAAGCCUGAUGCAGCCAUGCCGCGUGUAUGAAGAAGGCCUUCGGGUUGUAAAGUACUUUCAGUCGGGAGGCGUUACCGACAGAAGAAGCACCGGCUAACUCCGUGCCAGCAGCCGCGGUAAUUC